ensembl:lncRNA
UCCAUGCCGGAUCUUCUGGUGUUAGCUUCAAGCUCGUGCCUUUAGAUGUUUUAUGUGCUGAUUACAGACCGAUUAUACUACACCGAUUCUAGCAUGACUUCAAUACGGGAACUAUGCUACAAAUGAGAUAUCAGAACACACCAUAUCAGAACACACCAAGACCAUUUAAAAAAAAAAAAAGGUUUAUUGAUUUGGUCAAUCUUGUAGGUUGCUUUCAACUCUUUUCGGAUUCAGCGAGGACAGCAGCCCAUUUGAGCUUGAUCAAAAACUCUCCCACAAGCCAAGAUAAGCAAAAACCUUUUGACUUAUCUGAAAUGGCACUUUCCAUGGCUGUUGCUUUUAAUGCAAUGACAGGGGGUGCCUCCACUAAGAGGGAACACAAAACCACAUAAACCAGUGAGACUCCAGCUGAUUUGAAGUCGGGGAAUAUGAUGCCUGCUAUCUCAGGAACAGCUUGUUGUGGUCAGACGGAGACAGUAGAGAGUGGGAGCUUCUUCUUGCUGGCCUUGCGCUAUGCACGUCUCAUCUGUGUUGGUGUCGGCGGCAGUGAUGAGCUCCUGCAGGACCUGGGCUUUCUUCUCACGCUCCUUUUUCCUGCUCUCAAUCAUCCGCAGCUCCUGCAUAAGAUACUCCUCUUCUUCCACCUGCAGGGCAAAACGGGGAAGUGCAACGUGAGUGCUGGGUCAUGUUCAUCAGGACAAAAAUGAAC